rnacentral:misc_RNA from 1 species
UCCGGUUUGGCACCGGCAGUCUUCCUAGAGUCCCCGCCAUUACGUGCUGGCAACUAAGGACAAGGGUUGCGCUCGUUGCGGGACUUAACCCAACAUCUCACGACACGAGCUGACGACAGCCAUGCAGCACCUGUCACUCGGUUCCCGAAGGCACUCCCGCAUCUCUGCGGGAUUCCGAGGAUGUCAAAGGCAGGUAAGGUUCUUCGCGUUGCAUCGAAUUAAACCACAUGCUCCGCUGCUUGUGCGGGUCCCCGUCAAUUCCUUUGAGUUUUAGCCUUGCGGCCGUACUCCCCAGGCGGGGCACUUAAUGCGUUAGCUGCGACACCGAGCGCGUCUAUACGCCCGGCAUCUAGUGCCCAUCGUUUACGGCGUGGACUAC